GGUUAGCGCUGGCGGCGUGCCUAACACAUGCAAGUCGAACGGUUCUAAGCGCGAGCUUAGGAUAGUGGCGAACGGGUGAGUAAAAGGUAGGAAUCUACCCCUUGGACGGAGAUAGCUACUGGAAACGGUAGGUAAACUUCGAUAAGCCCGAGAGGGGAAAGUGGUGAGACAGCCGAGGGAUGAGCCUACUCUCCAUCAGGUAGUUGGUGAGAUAAAAGCUUACCAAGCCGAUGACGGAUAACCGGUGUGAGAGCAUGAACGGUCACAAGGGCACUGAGAGACGGGCCCUACUCCUACGGGAGGCAGCAGUGGGGAAUCUUGGACAAUGGGCGAAAGCCUGAUCCAGCGACGCCGCGUGGAGGAAGAAGUCCUUCGGGAUGUAAACUUCUGAACUAGCCGAAUAAAAGGCCUGUGGACACACAGGAGAAGAAAGUAGGCUAGGAAAAGUCCCGGCUAACUACGUG
rnacentral:rRNA from 1 species